GCACACAUAUUUACACGGAUCUUUAGUCAUGGGCUGCCUAAUUCUUGAAUAUUUGCCAUGGGAACUGUGCAACAACCUCUUUUUGUACCGUUGAUAAAUUGAUUUGAAGGCUGAGAUUAGAAGUUAUAAUUGAUCAGCCGGAACAGGUUGUUGUGCCCAAUUAUUUACUUGUGCCGGCUUCUAUUUUAAUAAGAGAAAAUAUUUUUGUCAGUAUAGUUAUACAAGAAAAAUAUUUAUUAUUAAAAUAAUCCGGCCGGAAGAGCUUGUACCGGCUUGUAUAAGAAAAUAAUAAAAAAAUAUUUUUAAACCGGCCGGAAGAGCUUAUACCGGCUUAUCCUCUUUUUUUUUCCGGCCGGAAGAGCUUGUACCGGCUUGUAUAAGGAAAUAAUAAAAAAAUACUUUGAACCCCGCCGGACCAAGCUGUCACGGCUGGGAAAUAAAAAAAUUUUAAAAAUAUCCAACUAUUCGCUACUAAACAGAUUCGAACUCGCGACCUCAAGCACCAAAUAGUUGGAUAUAUGACGAGGGUGGUCAUAUGACGAGGGUUUGGUGCUUGAGAUCGCGAGUUCUAAUAGCUUAACAUUGCUAACUGGAGGUGGCAGAUGUAUUCCUGAACUUUUCAAUUGGACUGCAGCUACUGGCUCAGGUCAAAGAUAUUUUAGAUAUGUGGCAUAAAAUUAUAUGGUCAAUUUUAGCUUGAACUUUUAGUCUGUUAAGGGAAGCCUGUAUUGGAACAUGGAAUGUGUUCUAUCUCCACUUUCCCUUUAGAAAUCAAAGGCUUAAUACAAAGUACGUCUUCAUGUGAAUCAGGAUUGAGAAAGGAAAAAAAUAUUGUUCAAGUACAAAUAAGUGUAUUUAUAAGAUAUAGUUGCUCAUUAAAUGCCUCGCACAAAAGGUAAGCAGGAAUACUGUCGGUAUUUUUCCCUUAUAUUCUUUUGUAUACCCAAAUUUUAUAUAGUUCUUCCCAACUGUUUUAGGCUGCAAGUGAUGAAGACGAUGAUGUGAGCUCAGGGGAUGGUGAUACGAAAAUGGCAGUUGAUGCCCCUGAAUCCAGGCCAAAUAUUAAUCAAAAUGAUAUAUAGUUUGUAUGAUUUUUUUUUUUUGUCCAACCCACCCUUGGGUUUGUUUGCCAAACUUUCUGAUAUGUAAUCUCUCAAGGCUGUCUAGUUGUUUAAACUUUUGACUUGCACAAUGGCAGAAUGAAAACAAAGGAGUGAAUGAAAGAGUUUAUGAUUCUGUAAAUUAUUAGAGUAUAUAUGUAUGUAAUAAACCCAUACCUGAUGGCUGAAAUUGGGAUCUUCGAGCUUUUAAUGUAGCUGGAAAGUGUCGUUGGGUUAUGAUUGAUGAAGGAGACAAACCGUCUUGGACCACUUCUUCCCCUGCAACGUUAUCAGCAGUAGUCUGCUGCAGUAGCAACAGCCUUAUCCGUAUACAUACUACUGUAAUCUAGCAAGUAGUUUUUUUGGGCACAUAAUCGUGAUCCUACUACAUAUGUCGUCUCAAAAGCGAUUAGACUCGCAAAGAUAUCAAAGUAGUACUGAAAGACUUCGAUACUAGUGUAGUGAGAAGUAAUCUAUGGGUUACCAAUGCAAGAAACCCGAGUCCUAUGAAGUCAGCACCAACUCAAACACCAGUCACGGACCGGUCGCUGGUAGACGGAGUUAGUACCCUGAAGUUAUUAAGUAAUAGGGUCACAAGGCAGCUAAAUGAAAUCAUAGAAGACAUUGAACCUGUAAUAUAGCAACAGUUUCAAGUGGAAAUCAGAU
rnacentral:lncRNA from 1 species